GGGAUCUAAUAAAUUUGGUGGAAAACCAUAUGUUUCAUGACAGCGGUGCUAUGGGUUACUUCUUAUAUGAUGAUACAUGUGGAUAGUUUAGAAUCAAAUACUAUGAUGGUUAUGUGAGUUAGUUUUUUUAUAGUGCGAGAUGUGUAAUUCAGAAGUAAGUUUCAGAGUUAUUUUGGGUUAUUAACUACGGAGUUGUGUGAUGGAGAAGUAGGUAUUGGGGUUUGGCUAUUCUUUUUAAUUAUAGAGCCAUCAACUCUUUUUUUGUAUUUUGAAUUUUUUUUAUAAUGAUAGAGGUGGAUCUUUUGAAAUAUGUAGAUGCGAUGGCUGUGAUGGUCAGAGUCCACCAAACCAAUAGACGGAUUUUUUUUUCUAAGAAUUUAUAGUAUCUCUGUUUGUUUUUGCUACUACGUCUUAGAUAAAGGCAAUGCGAAGAUGGCGAAAGGAGCAUCCAAUUACUAUGCACUAGAAAAAAAGAGAAGAUGGUCGAAAGAGUUGAGAUGAGUCUACAAGGAAGAGAGGGAACAGUGUAUGAGGGAGCAGUUAAGAUGUACCGACAUGUACUUACAAGAUUAACUUAGAAGCAGGACAUUACUCGUUUCUUUUCUCCUCCAUCACUCCAUGCAUAUUAUUGUGUCAAGGUAUUUUCUUUUUCUUGUCCCCAUUAUACUAUGUUAACCUUUUAUAUGUGGCAUGCCCAUUAUAUUUCUUCAGCAGCGAUAUCUCUUGACCUAAUUAUAGAGGAUAGUUCAAUUUUAUAUAUGGGCUGUUGUCUGUGGACUUGUGGAGGAUGAGUGAAGCAAUGAGCCAUAGAUAUACCUGCUUGAAGGAAAGAAAACAGGAGGAAAAGGUGUGGAUUAAGUGAGUCAAGUGACACUUUGAGUGACCGCAGCAUACCUGUCUGAUUUAUGGCUAGUUUGUUUAUGUAUAUCCCGCAAAAUAUUUUUUAAGAGAAGCCCACGGGGUUAACUAUCGAUCUAUGUAUUAAUAAAGAAGCGUAGUGGAAAAUGAAUUUAUAAAAGAAAAAUUCUCCAAAGCAGUACAUUAUCUUCUUGGCAGGGAUUCUUAUCGGAAUUAUUACAAUUAUGUAGCACGGCAACAUGUGCCUAUUUGUUGUCUUCAGUGGGAAACAUCAGCGCUAUCCUAUCUCGCAGCACUUUUCGAUAAGGUCCCGUUUGGGUUCCUUCAUUUUGAAGGAAUUGGAAUCUAUUUAAUGGAGUAGGCUAAUUUAUGUUGGAAUGUGGCAUUCCACAACUUUCCAAAGUUUAGAUAUAAGCCUAUCUUAAAUUUAUAGGGUGGGAGAUGGAAAUUGAUUCUAUAGAUUAUGGUUAUUAGAAUGGAAUUCAAUUCUUAUAGCACGCUCUUGGACUCGCUUCUCUAUAGUAGAAGUGCAGCAUAUAAGUAUCUCUCCCAUAUCACCAACUAUAAUAUACAACUAUAUUCCACAUACAAUUAUAUUAGCUUAAUUAAUUUGUGUCUAAAUUAUAAUUAUUAGGAUGGAAUUCAAU
rnacentral:lncRNA from 1 species